UAUAAUUUAGUGUAUGGUGCACGCAGGUUUUUGGAUCCUGAAGAUUAAGUUCAACUCUUUUUAUUAUAA
rnacentral:tRNA from 1 species